GAUGAACGCUAGCUACAGGCUUAACACAUGCAAGUCGAGGGGUAACGAGAGGAAAGCUUGCUUUCCUUGUCGACGACCGGCGCACGGGUGAGUAACGCGUAUCCAACCUGCCCCCAACUAGGGAAUAACCUUGCGAAAGUAAGACUAAUACCCUAUAAUUUCCUCAGAUGACAUCUGACGAGGAAUAAAGAUUUAUCGGUUGUGGAGGGGAUGCGUCUGAUUAGCUUGUUGGCGGGGUAACGGCCCACCAAGGCAACGGUCAGUAGGGGUUCUGAGAGGAAGGUCCCCCACAUUGGAACUGAGACACGGUCCAAACUCCUACGGGAGGCAGCAGUGAGGAAUAUUGGUCAAUGGGCGGAAGCCUGAACCAGCCAAGUAGCGUGCAGGAAGACGGCCCUAUGGGUUGUAAACUGCUUUUAUACAGGAAUAAAGUUAGCCACGUGUGGUUAUUUGUAGGUACUGUAUGAAUAAGGACCGGCUAAUUCCGUGCCAGCAGCCGCCGUAA
rnacentral:rRNA from 1 species